UGCUGAUUUAGCAUCUCUAGUUUAAUGAACGUAACUCUCUGGAUAGACAUUCAGGUAUAUGAGGUUUGUCAUAUUAAUUGUUGCUCAAGUCUGAAUUUAUUGGAUCUCUAAUUGCUGGGAGCAAUUUCCUCACUAGCUUAAUGUUUUACAGAUGUAAUGACAGUUGUUUAAAAUGUUCCUAAGUUUUCCCAUAGCUUAGUUUUAUUGCAUCCACUGAAUUCUGCAGUUUUUCAAAUUUGAUUAAAAAACAAAAAAUUUUAUUCACUUUCUAUUGCAUUUUUAACAAUACAAAAACAUUUGAUUUUUCUGAGAUAUACAGCUUUUUAUUUUUAUUUUUAUUUAUUUUUAAUUUUUUUUAACAUUUAUUUAUUAUUGAGAGAUAAGAUAGAGCAUGAGCAGGGGAGGGGUAGAGAGAGGGGAGACACAGAAUCCGAAGCAGGCUCCAGGCUCUGAGCUGUCAGCACAUAGCCCAACUUGGGUCUCAAACUCACUAACUGUGAGAUCAUGACCUGAGCUGAAGUCAGUGGCCUAACCAACUGAGCCACCCAGGCACCCCGAGAUAUAUAGCCUUUUAGAUACAGAUAUUUAGUUCUAGAUUAUUCAGCAUGUAAUAAUGUUAAAAGAACUCUAUAAAAGAACAACCAGUCUUUAUAUCCGCAUAGCAGAGAUCUUAAAAUGGAAAUAAAAUAAGAUUGGAACACGAAGAGAAGAGAAUGUUGCCAAGUAAGGUUUGAUAAAACCUAUUAAGUAAAGUCAAUAACUAGUAAAAUCAGUUUAAGCGUCAGGAUACAUAAUGUCAUUUAUAGAAUUCUGUAAUCUAUACAGUAUAGUUUUGUUCCGUUGUAAACAUUUGCAGAUCUUUAAGUGAUUUUUGCAUCAAUGGAAGGUCAUGUUAUUUCUAAAAUUCCAUUACCAGAUUGUGGUAGUUUUCUAUGAUACAACAUAUAAAUAAUAUUUAUCUAAAAAAAAAAAACCUUGAAAUCCAUUUCACACGUUGUUAUUAACAUGAACUGUUAUGUAUUUUUCAACCAAUUCCAGAUGUUUUAAGAUUUUAUUUUUCAGCGCAGACUCAGCCUGAUAGCAACCAUCUGUCCUGUCCUGGAUGAUUCAAAUUCAUCUCUGAAAGCAUGAGAAUGGAUUUGAACUUGAUAAACUGAUCUUAAAUUUCGUACGGAAAUGCAAGGGACCAGCACAUCUUGAAAUAGAAAGGACCCAUGCUUCUUGACUUCAGAACUGGCUACAAACUACAGUAAUCAAGAUAGUGUGGGACUGGCAUAAGGAUCAAAAUACAGGUUAAUAGAAUGAAGAAUAGAGAAAUAAGCCAUUUAUAAUCGAUCGAGAAAAUUAAUGGGGAAGAACAGUCUUAAAUAGUAUUGGGACAACUGGAUAUCCACAUGCAGAAGAAUGAGGUUAGACUCCCACCUCACAUCAUAUACAAAAAUUGACUCAAGAUAGAUCAAAUAACUAAAUGAAAGAGCUAAAACAAAACUGUUAGAAGAAUACGCAAGUGUAAAUCUUCAUGACUUCGAGUUAAGCAAAGCCUUCUUAGAUAUAACAACAAAAGCACAAACAACAAAAGAAAAAAUAAAUCGAACUUUAUCAAAAUUAAAUAAUUUUGUGCUUCAAAGGACAGACACCAUUAAGGAAGUGAAAAGGCAACCUAAACUACAGAAUGAGAGAAAACAUUUGCAAUUCAUGUAUCUGAUAAGGGACUUACAUCCAGAACAUGUAAAGAACUCUCACAGUUUAAAAAGACAACUAAAACCAUUUAAAAAUGGGCACCGAAUAGACGUUUCUCCAAAGAAUGGCACAUGCAAAGAUGCUCAACAUCAUUAUUUAUGAGGGAAAUGCGAAUCAAAACCACAAAACCUCUUCAUAUCCACCAGGAUGGCUAAAAUCAAGACCGUAACAAGUGCUGGUGAGGAUGUAGAGAAAUUAAAACACUCCACAUUGCUGGUGGAAUCGUAAAAAGGGACAGCCACUUUGGAAAACAGUUUGGCAGUUUCUCAAGAUGUUGAACACCAUUACCAAAUGAUCUAGCAGUUUCACUCCUAGGUAUAUACCCAAGAAAAUGGAAAACCUAUGCACACCAAAAUGUGCAAAUAUUCACAUUAUUAUAUAUAAUUCACAUUAUUAUAG